rnacentral:lncRNA from 1 species
CUUUAAGAGGUCAGGUGCUCUUGUUCAUUCAUAAAAUUAUCGUUCAUUCAUACAUUUAUCGUAAAAUCAAAAUCACUACACAGGUUAAUGCGUAGUGUCAAAUGAUUACCUGUAAUCUAAAAAUAGACAAACUUUGUUUGCGCAAAUAAUUUAGCGGAACGAAACCCUUGUUGAAAACAAAUAACAAUAAGUUCGUUUUCCUUUUCUGUCAAACUCCGUAAUAUUUAUCGAUCACCUUACUAAUGAAAUGGACCCGUCCAAACGUAGUAGAUGCCAAGUCGGUCCAGAUGAAGAGAUAUUUCAAUUUGGAAUUUUCUAGUUACAUAGAUUGAAAAAAAGUAUGUCUUUUUAAAUAUCAUAAUCAAAACUGGGAAUGCAUAACAAAUGUCAGAUGAAACCAUUAUCCUCGUCUUUUCAGUGAACAAGUCUACUACGUUUGUUGACACUCGACGGUCCACCGUGUUAGCAAUUUUAUUUCACAUGUUUUCGAAAUAUUGAAGAUUAUUUUUCGCAAUGUUUCCUGAAAAUUGAUAAAUGUCAAAGCAACGUAGAGCUGUUUGUUCUUGUUCGUAUAAUAAAAUUGAGAAUGGAUAUGGGGAAUGUGUCAAAGAGACAACAACCCGACCAUAGAAAAACAUACAACAGCAGAAAGUCACCAACAGGUCUUCAAUGCAGCGAAAAAUUCCCGCACCCGGAGGCGUCCUUCAACUGGCCCUAAACAAUACAUCAGUGAUAACGAUUUAAUGUCAUGUUUGUCUGUGAUAAUUCGAAUUAGCUCUCGCCGCGAUAACAAUCAAUCAAGGAAAUUAUUGCCCAGUUACAAACACUACCAGGGGAUAAUCCAUGAUGAUUUCUUUUUGAGUUAUAUGUUUCAGCACAUGUAUAUUUGACCCCAACUUUAGCCUGGUAAACGUGUUGUCUCCUUGUGAAAUAUAAAACAUAUUAAAAAUGACUUUCUGCUAAAGUCUUUUAUUUAUAUAAAGUUAAAACCUUCUUACUUCUAACUAGACAACACUCAUGUCAGGUUUAAUUAUUAUAUAUAUGUGGAUGAAAAAUAAAAGUCCCCAAACAUUAACAUGACAGCAAUUGCUUUUACAGCCUUUAAGGCUUUGAUUUA